rnacentral:rRNA from 1 species
AAGGGUGCGUAGGCGGCCUGUUAAGUCAGGGGUGAAAGACGGUAGCUCAACUAUCGCAGUGCCCUUGAUACUGAUGGGCUUGAAUUGACUAGAGGUAGGCGGAAUGUGACAAGUAGCGGUGAAAUGCAUAGAUAUGUCACAGAACACCGAUUGCGAAGGCAGCUUACUAUGGUCUUAUUGACGCUGAGGCACGAAAGCGUGGGGAUCAAACAGGAUUAGAUACCCCUGGU